UAAUAAAACUGACUGAUGCUGUAAUUUUGCCUCUGAAGUGAUGGAGCCGAUGUCAAAAUGCGUAGAAUAAAUUACCACUAUCAGAGAAUAUAAAUUUUAAAUGUUAUACCUGAUCUGAUAGUUAACACAAUCAUUGAUUUUUGUAAACCUUCUCUUGCGCGAUGGCUUUUUCAGCAUUUUAAUUUAUGGAUGGGGUUUGGAUUAAGGUUUCAGUUUAUGUUUCUAAUACAUAAAACUAGCUAAGAGUAGAUCUCUCAUUACAAUGAAUGAUUCUGAAAGUAAGCAAUAUAAUAGUAACAAUGGUUAUGGCUGGUUUUCAUGCUCACACCGUGUAAACAGAUUGGAGUGUUCAGGCAACUGUUAGCUGGCUACUUUCUCAGUCAUUUGGGAGUGAAAAUGUGUCAAUUGUCGCUGAAGAAGAUGUUGUCAGUCUCUCCAAGGCUGAUGCAGCUGGCCUGUUGAAGGCUGUGGUGAAUACCGUGAAUGACUGUCUAGCAGAAGCACCUCGGUUUGGGCUCCAGGGUCCAGCAAUGGCCCUUGGGGCCUCAGAGGUUAUUGAAGCCAUCAGUCGUUGCAACUCAAGUGGGGGCCCUACUGGAAGAUUUUGGGCACUUGACCCUGUUGAUGGCACGUUAGGGUUUGUACGCGGGGAUCAAUAUGCCGUGGCAUUAGCAUUGAUAGAAAAUGGAGAAGCAGUGCUCGGAGUUCUUGGGUGCCCCAAUUAUCCAAUGAGAAAGGAAUGGUUAAGUUAUCAACAUCGCUACCACAGAAUUAUAUCCAAAUUAACCCCACCUACAUCUGAAUCUUGGGACAAGGGGUGUGUGAUGUAUGCCUGGAAAGGCAGCGGUGAGGCUUGGAUGCAGCCUCUAAUCCAGGGAGAUAAGAAGCUGGUUUGGCCAAACUCUGCAAGGCCAGUUCAAGUGUCAUCCAUUGAGAAUCCAGCAUUGGCAACAUUUUGUGAACCUGUUGAGAAGUCAAAUUCAAGCCACUCCUUCACAGCAGGACUAGCUCACAGCGUUGGCCUUAGGUGCAUAAAUAUGUGUGUGUGUGUGUAUGUGUGUGUGUUUGUGUGUGUGACUAAAAGUGAAAUUGAAGUGUAAUUUUCAGUGGUGACAAGAAGCUUUACUUGAAUUUUUUUGACUACAGAAAGCAACCAUUACGUGUAUACAGCAUGGUGAAGUACGCAACCAUAGCACGUGGGGAUGCAGAAGUAUUUAUGAAGUUUGCAAGGGCUGGAUACAAGGAGAAGAUAUGGGAUCAUGCCGCUGGUGUUGUUAUCAUAGAAGAAGCUGGAGGUGUGGUCAGCGAUGCUGGUGGGCGGCGGCUGGACUUUUCGAAGGGUAUAUACUUAGAAGGGCUUGAUAGGGGUAUAAUUGCUUGUGCUGGAGCCAGGUUACAUGAAAAAAUCAUCAGGGCUGUUGAUGCCAGUUGGAGUUCCUCUAGUCUAUAAUUAUAAGUUUCUUCUUUAUAGCAUCAAUAAGAAGAAAGCAGUAUGCAAUGUGCAUUACCAGAUGGUGUGAAAAAAAAUUAGUAAUGAAUUAUUUUUCUAAUUUUCGUUUGUUUGUCCGUGGCAUUCCUCUUUGUAUAUUCUUUAAUGAAGUCAGUCCGCUUAGGCUCAGAGAUGAGUUUGUUCUAUAUUGUAUUGUAUUAAAAACAAAACUCUUCUGUAAAUUGAUAUUUGUUUCAUUAUAUUUUCUGAGACACUAGUAAUUCCAAUUUGCUGACGCUGCCUUGAAUCUCCAAUAAAUAAAUAAAGUCUAACUUGUAGAGUUCAUCACAGCUCCACAUUUUGCCAACACAGAACGGCUUCGCAAGCGGGUGUGUGUUUUUUUGGGGAACAAAUUGAAAUUUAUUGGGUCCUGAAAUCCACUUUUGGCCCAUUGUAUCAUGUUGCAAUUUGAAGCCCAGACUCGUCAAAAUGUUGUUGGGUUUGAUUGGGCUGGCUGAUAUGCCAAUUACACCCAUAACCUCUCCCUUUCUGUAGAUUCCAUACAUAAUAAAUCAUAUGACAAAGAUUUCAAAGAUUGUGAUAUUUAUUUAUUAUACAUACGGAUUUGCGCAGCUAUCUACAGCGUCUUGGCAGAACUGAACACCCUCCACAGGCCACCGCCACAUGGGAAAUAAUAAUGGGAACUGACCUGCCACCCACCCACCAUAACAAAAGCGCGUUGAAUUACUUGAACGCUCUUAAAUUGAGUUGUAUGAAUUCUUGGCCUAUUAAUUAAUUAAAGCCAAACGACAAUUUUCAAAUGUUAAAAUUUGUGUAAUCAAUUAAAGAUGAGAUGCUUUCCUUUAAUUCAAAGUAGUGAUGUCGUGAUGAAUAAAGCCGUCAACGAUGAUUUUGUUGAGAUGACCGCACAGAUAAUGAAGUUUAAGCAUGUGUACUUAUCUGUGGAUUCAAACGUCGAGUUAGGGUUUAGUUACGGUACAAUAAUAGUAUCAUAUUAUUUUUUUUGUCUUUUGUGACAGCACUAUUAUACAUUUUUAUAUAACUCAUUUUACUCAUUUUUAUUUAAACUUUGAUUCACAAAUAUUAAGUUAAUUUCUACUGUAUUUAUAUAAAUAUUUUAGUUAGCACCUUAUACUAUCUAUUAUUUACAUAUUUUUAUUCUAUAUUGCACAUGUAUCACAAUACCCCCUCUCUUUACUAUUUUGAGAUAAAAUAAUAAAAAUGUUUAAUUUAUAACUUUACACUUUUUUUAAUAUUAGGAUUUUUUUAAAUCCAUUAUCAAAUUUCAUUUAACACUACACUCUUUCUAUUAUAACUUUUUUAAUAAAUAUUAUAAUACUUUUUUAUUUACAUGCAUAAUAAAUUAUGUAAUCUCAAUAGUCUUAUUACAAAAAGUAUUAUAAUUUUUCGUACUCUUAUUUUUAUCAUGUUAUUUAAUUCAAGUGUUCUUAUCUUAUGGGUGCAUUUGGUUCAUCAUUAUUUGUUGUAUUAGGUUAUAUUGCAUUAUUAUUAUUUUUGUCACAUUAGGGCAUAUUAAACUAUAAUUUAGUAAAAAAAAAUUAUCCUUCUUAUAUAGUAAUAAAAUUUUUAAUAAUAUAAUAUCAGUCCAUGCUACAUAAAUUUACUUUAGCACUCAUUUAAAGAUGAUGAACUAUUGUUUACAACAAUAAAUUAAAGGAGAAAAAUUUUUACAACAGUAAAUAAAAUGACUGCUAAAUUAUAAUAUUUUUUGUAAUAUGACUAUUGAGAUUACAUAAUUUAUUGUGCAUGUUAGUAAAAUGUACUAUAAUAUUUAUUAAAAAUAUUUAUAAUAGAAAGAGUAUAGAGUGUUAAAUGAAAUUUGAUAAUGGAUUUAAAAAAAUAUAAUAUUAAAAAAAGAGUGUAAGGUUCUAAAUUAAAUAUUUUAAUUAUUUAAUCUCAAAAUAGCAAAGAGAGGGGGUAUUGUGAUACUAGUGCAAUAUAAAAAAUAAUUUGUAAAUAGUAGAUAGUAUAACAUGCUAAUUAAAAUAUUUAUAUGGAUGCAGUAGAAAUUAACUUAAUAUUUAUGAAAUAAAGGUUAAAUAAAAAUGAAUGAAAGGGGUUAUAUGAAAAAUUUACAGGAGUGCUGCCACAAAAGAAAAAAGAAGUGGUAUAGUACCACUGUUAUACCGUAGCUGAGUCCGUCAAAUUAAAAUAAAAUAAAAUAAAAUAAAAUGGUCGGGCCUGCGCUUUAAAUUCAGUAGCUUCUCUUGUCAACUACUUGCACGUCGGUGGGGUCAGUCUUGCCGCACUCUACUGAUUCUGGGGACCGGAGUUUGAAGUUUUAUUUAUUCUUUUGUCAAAUGUUUAAAAUGAAGAUUAUCCCUUUCGUUUUUGUUAAAGGGAAAUUGCACGACACCUGUUUCGAGAUGGAAAAUUUUUUUUUCCCACGAGACCCCCAUCGUAAUAGGAAAUUGAAAAUAUCAUGGGGGGGACCUAUCCAGCACAGUAGCAAUAGCACGCAUGUAUAUAUAUAUUUAUGUGACAACAUCGUUUUGAUAUGGUGCACCUGCACGUGUACGCUGUCCGCGCUAAUUAAUUGCCAACACAUGAUGUUAAUGUGCAGUGCAUCGUCAAGUAACAUUAUUCAUCUCUAAUGAAUUUGCAGAUGGGAGGUUAGCCUCAUUGAUGUCAUCAUGUUGGCAUAUAUACAUUUAUAUCCUCUCCCAUUUCACGAAUCCUCUUUAUUUCUCUUGGUACUUAAUGGUGGUACCCUCCCUUAAUCUCUUCACUGUUUAUCAAUAGUUUUUUUUUUUUUUUUAUCUAAACUACGAGGUGGUUAUGAGUGGAUCUUAAUUGUGGGAGACACUUUUAAGUUCGUAUCACAAUUCAGACUAAUUCUCGCUCGCACCAGGUCGGUUCGUAAAGGAUAAAAUACUAACUAAAGUAGUGACUCCAUACAAGAGCGGGACUCAAACUCCUGAUUUUUCUUAAGAAGUGAGAGUGUCGAACCACUCACACCAACCAACUUUGAUUAUUAGUAGUUAAUUAGAAGCACAUUAAGCACUUGUGAUGUGGCACCAAAUUAAUUAUCGCAAAUUCGCAAUAGGACUUGAAUUUAUGAGAUUGUUCAAGUGAGUCUCACGGGCUUUAUAAUUUGUUUGAUGAAUCACCGGCACAGCAACUAUAUUUAAAAAAAAAAGAAAAAGAAAAAGAAAUGUAAAGUGCCAUAAUUGCACCCAACCUACUCAACAUUAAGUCAAAGUGGGCCCCUCUCUUUUUAAUACAAAGUCAUCCAACUCUCUGUUUAAUAAUCUGUAUAUAAAUAAUACAUAUUCCCCUUCUCUCAAUCUCAUUUCCUCAUCGCACUCCCAAAAAAACUACUCACAAAAAUGAACUCCUUCGCUAGCUCUGUCUUUGUCAUCUUGCUCAUCACAUCAACUUCGUCACUUUGCGUGGCUGCCCGACCCGGAGCAUCAGCUGAGCUCAACAACGACGACAAGCUCUCUGAAGGCAAAACCACCAACCAAAACACCAAGGGUGGAAACGGGUAUGACGCCGGGAUGGAUGGAUUCUUUGGACCCGGAUCAGGUAUACCCGGGUUCGGAAAUGGGAUAGUAGGUGGCGGGUAUGGAGCCGGGUACGGAGGUCCGAAUGGAGGGUACUCAAGAGGUGGUGUAAUUAGGCCUAGUGUGGUGUGUAAGGAGAGAGGUCCUUGUUACAUGAAGAAACUGACGUGUCCGAAAAAGUGCUUCACCUCUUACAGCCGUUCAGGGAAGGGCUACGGCGGUGGUGGCGGAGGCGGUGGAUGCACCAUGGAUUGUAAGAAGAAAUGUGUCGCUUACUGUUAGAGAAUGAGCUGAGCCCUGGUCUUAGUUUCUAAUAUUUCUUACGUAAUGUAAUCUACUGUUAUAUUCAUAUAUAAGUCAUGUAUGUGCUGCAAGGUUUAUUAUGGGUUGCCU
rnacentral:lncRNA from 1 species